CGGUGAGGGACUCAGCCGGCCUUUCCCUGCCUCAGCCGCCUCCUCUCAGUCUCACCCGACCGGCCGCUGCUCGGGUUCAUCCGGCCCGUUCUCCCUCACCCGAGCCCGGAGCUGUGUCCCCAGCUGGGUCGGAGCAGUGCCCGUCCCCCUGCGCUGGGCACUGCUGAGGCCCAGCGAGUGCCGUGUCCAGUUCUGUCCCUCACUGCAAAAGAGACAUGAGGAGCUGGAGUGUUCCCCAUGGAGCUGGGGAAGGCUCUGGGAAUCACUCCUAUGAGGAGUGACUGAGGGAGCUGUGUGUGGCACUUAGUGCUGUGGUUCAGUUGACAAGGAGGUGUUCAGACAGAGGUUUACUCUGAUGAUCUUAGAGGUCCUGUCCAACCUUAAUGAUUCUUUAAUUAUCUGUCUCAUCUGACCCCACUCAAAAAACACUUGGACAACAUCUUCAGACAUACGGUGAUCUUCUUGAGGUGUUUUUAUGCGGGGUGUUCUUCUCAAGAGUUGGAUUUGAUGAUCUUUGUGGGUCCCUUCCAGCUCAGGAUAUUCUCUUAUUCUCUGAUCUCCGUCUCCCCAGCUCUGCAGGUCCUGACUCCAGCCUGAGCCUGAGCCUGCCCCUGCCACUCGACGUGCCCUCCUUGCUCUCCCAUCCCUCCUUCCUCAUCACCACUGGAUCCAGCACCGGCUACAGCAUGGUCCCCUCCCCGCCCUCCUACCACAAACUGCUGAUUCCCCACCACCCCAUUCCCACCACACACAGGGACGACCCAACGCCCUCCACCUCUCGCAGCCACCCCUCACCUCUGGCCACCUUCCACACCUCUUGGCCAAAGUGGGCCCACACCUGAUGCCUCCAACAGCCCGAUGCCCCCCUCGUGUCACGGUAGCAGUGGCAUCGGCCUCGUGCUCUUCGGUGCGGGGCUUGUGAGCAAAGCCUUGUUGCAAAGCCUGCUGGAGGAGACGGGCUGCUGCCUGCUGUACGUGGUGGAGGAUCGGCCAGAGGAGGUGGAACGUGCCUUUGGCGCCGAGGUCCCGGCCAGCACCAGGGUGCUGCGGCAGCAGGACACCGCUGUCGCGCUCGGUGAUCCGCGAGUCUCUGGAGCCAUUAUUUGUUCCCCACCUGAUGAAGCCCCUGAGAUGGUAAGAGAUGCCUUACGAGCAGGUAAAGGUGUGUUCUGCGAGGGGCUGCCCAGCUUGGACAGACAGACAGCAGAAGCCUGUUUUGAUGAGGCCAGCAGGUGUGGGAGGCCACUUGUGUGUGGGUUCUACAAGCGCUUUGACCCAGCCCUGCAGUUCUUGUACAGGAAGGUGCGGGGCAGCCAGGCGCUGGGCAGGAUCCACCGGAUAUCCACCAUCAGCAGCCUCUAUCCAGCAGCCUCUCUGAGCCUGCUGAAAGCCUCAGGUGGCAUUUUUUACAACGCUGCUGUGCAUGACAUAGAUAUUAUCAGUUUGUUGUUGGGAGAGAGUGUGCCAGAUACAGUAUUUUCCCUGGGCCAUGCCUUCUGUGCAGACAUGGGCUGCCUGAGGGACGUGGACACGGUCGCCAUCAGCAUGAAGUUCCCCAGCGGGGCCAUUGUCACUCUGGAUGUCAGCCAGCACUGCACCAGGAGCUGUGACCAGCGGCUGGAGGUUCAUGGGUCUCAAGGGACAUUAAGGGUGGACAACCAGAACCCCCUGGGCAUCACAGAGCAUGGGACUUCUGUGUCCAUCUGUCCCCAGACCCAAGCUGAGCGCUACAGAGAUGCAUGCAGGGAGCUCUUCUGGCACUUUCUGAGAAGCCUGAAAGCUCACCAGCACCCGAGGAAGAGGAGGGACAGGAGGUCACCUCUGUGUGCUGAAGGCUCGGAGCUGCUGUGGGACACCCAGAGAGGGCCUUGGAGGAGAGUCCCGGGCCCAGGGCUGUGAGUGCAGCACGUCCAGCGGUCACACUUCUGUCACCCUUGGAGAGGGAACAGCCACUGCCUGCCUGGAGGAGAAGUCACAUCUCAGAGAAAUUACAGCUGGGAGAAAUGACCAGGAACAGAAGAGAAUUGGGCAGCCAGUCCAUGCUGUCCUCCUGAAAGAUGGAAUUUACACCAUGGCAUUCCAACUUGUCAGGUCUGACCUGUCAACAAAACUCCCCAAGGGAGCAAGGAGGGAUUAUUCAGACCUCUGACUUCUCAGAACAAUCACUGGCUUUCCCCCUCCUCCACAACUGCAUGCAAGAGAUUCAGAGGAGGAAAAAAAAAUGAGUUUUGAAUAGAUAAGACUGGAGACAGGCUUCUCUGCAUGUUUACAUGCUACAACAUGAAAUUAAUUUAGUUGACACUGCAGUAUCUCAGGAGUCAGUAUCAAUUUUUAUAGCUUACAUGAAAAUAAAUCUUUCUCCUUACAGCACAAUGAGCUUACUGUAUGUACAUUCUGUUUAUAUACACCAACCUUUAAGUACAAGAACACAUUGGUAAUGGACAAACAGGGCCUUUCUGGCUCUACAGAGGGCUGAGGGAAGGGAUGCGUUUGGCAGUCCAUGGAAAAGCAGGAUGUGGCUUCACACCAGUCCCUGGCAAUGCCUGCACAGGUCAGGGCUGAGUCCGUGUUGCAGUGACAAAGCCCUCUCAGCUUGGGACACCACAGAGAACAUGGACAAUGAGCAGGGAUGAGAAAAACAUGCUGUCCUUACACAGCUGGAUGCAGGGAUGCUCCAGGAAAACACAAACCAGAC